GCUGGCGGCAGGCUUAACACAUGCAAGUCGAACGAUGACUCUCUAGCUUGCUAGAGAUGAUUAGUGGCGGACGGGUGAGUAACAUUUAGGAAUCUGCCUAGUAGUGGGGGAUAGCUCGGGGAAACUCGAAUUAAUACCGCAUACGACCUACGGGUGAAAGGGGGCGCAAGCUCUUGCUAUUAGAUGAGCCUAAAUCAGAUUAGCUAGUUGGUGGGGUAAAGGCCCACCAAGGCGACGAUCUGUAACUGGUCUGAGAGGAUGAUCAGUCACACCGGAACUGAGACACGGUCCGGACUCCUACGGGAGGCAGCAGUGGGGAAUAUUGGACAAUGGGGGCAACCCUGAUCCAGCCAUGCCGCGUGUGUGAAGAAGGCCUUUUGGUUGUAAAGCACUUUAAGCAGGGAGGAGAGGCUAAUGGUUAAUACCCAUUAGAUUAGACGUUACCUGCAGAAUAAGCACCGGCUAACUCUGUGCCAGCAGCCGCGGUAAUACAGAGGGUGCGAGCGUUAAUCGGAAUUACUGGGCGUAAAGCGAGUGUAGGUGGCUCAUUAAG
rnacentral:rRNA from 1 species